GCCUAAAGCGUCCGUAGCCUGUUCUAUAAGUUUCCGGUUAAAUCCAUUAGCUCAACUAAUGGGCCGCCGAAAAUACUGUGGAACUAGGGAGUGGGAGAGGUAGACGGUAUUCGGUAGGAAGGGGUAAAAUCCUUUGAUCUAUCGAGGACCACCUGUGGCGAAGGCGGUCUACCAGAACACGUUCGACGGUGAGGGAUGAAAGCUGGGGGAGCAAACCGGAUUAGAUACCCGGGUAGUCCCAGCUGUAAACGAUGCAGACUCGGUGAUGCGCUGGCUUGUGGCCAGUGCAGUGCCGCAGGGAAGCCGUUAAGUUUGCCGCCUGGGAAGUACGUACGCAAGUAUGAAACUUAAAGGAAUUGGCGGGGGAGCACCACAAGGGGUGAAGCCUGCGGUUCAAUUGGAGUCAACGCCAGAAAUCUUACCCGGAGAGACAGCAGAAUGAAGGUCAAGCUGAAGACUUUACCAGACAAGCUGAGAGGUGGUGCAUGGCCGUCGCCAGCUCGUGCCGUGAGAUGUCCUGUUAAGUCAGGUAACGAGCGAGAUCCCUGCCUCUAGUUGCCACCAUUACUCUCAGGAGUAGUGGGGCGAAUUAGCGGGACCGCCGCAGUUAAUGCGGAGGAAGGAAGGGGCCACGGCAGGUCAGUAUGCCCCGAA
rnacentral:rRNA from 1 species